AUUGAACGCUGGCGGCAGGCCUAACACAUGCAAGUCGAACGAGUGGCGGACGGGUGAGUAAUGUCUGGGAAACUGCCUGAUGGAGGGGGAUAACUACUGGCACCGGUAGCUAAUACCGCAUACCAUCAGAUGUGCCCCGAUGGGAUUAGCUUGUUGGUGGGGUAACGGCGCACCAAGGCGACGAUGCCUAGCUGGUCUGAGAGGAUGACCGGCCAAACUGGAACUGAGACACGGGCCAGAGGCCUACGGGAGGCAGCGGGGGGGAAUAGGGCGAAAUGGGCGCAAGCCUGAUGCAGCCAUGCCGCGUGUAUGAAGAAGGCCUUCGGGUUGUAAGGUACUUUCAGCGGGGAGGCGUUACCCGCAGAAGAAGCACCGGCUAACUCCGUGCCAGCAGCCGCGGUAAUUC
rnacentral:rRNA from 1 species